AGAGGCUACUGCUAUCGGGGUUCGAUUAAGCCAUGCGAGUUAAAUGUUCUUCGUGAACAUAGCGAACUGCUCAGUAACACGUGGAUAACUUACCCUUAGGACCGGAAUAACCCCGGGAAGCUGGGGAUAAUACCGGAUAAGCCAUAGACGCUGGAAUGCCCUAUGGUUCAAAGCUCCGGCGCCUAAGGAUGGAUCUGCGGUCUAUCAGGUUGUAGUGGGUGUAACGUACCUACUAGCCGACGACGGAUACGGGUUGUGAGAGCAAGAGCCCGGAGAUGGAUUCUGAGACACGAAUCCAGGCCCUACGGGGUGCAGCAGGCGCGAACACUUUACAAUGCGGGAAACCGCGAUAAGGGAACCCCGAGUGCCAGCAUCAAAUGUUGGCUGUCCAGAUGAUUAAAAAUCAUUUGUUAGCAAGGGCCGGGCAAGACCGGUGCCAGCCGCCGCGGUAACACCGGCGGCCCGAGUGGUAGCCGUUUUUAUUGGGUCUAAAGGGUCCGUAGCCGGCUUGAUAAGUCCUUUGGGAAAUCUGGCAGCUUAACUGUCAGGCUUCUAAGGGAUACUGUCAGGCUUGGGACCGGAAGAGGUAAGGGGUACUCCAGGGGUAGGAGUGAAAUCUUGUAAUCCCUGGGGGANCAUCUGUGGCGAANGCGCCUUACCAGAACGGGUCCGACGGUGAGGGACGAAAGCUAGGGGAGCAAACCGGAUUAGAUACCCGGGUAGUCCUAGCUGUAAACGAUGCUCGCUAGGUGUCAGANACGGUGCGACNNUGUUUGGU
rnacentral:rRNA from 1 species